rnacentral:rRNA from 1 species
UGGGGAAUCUUGGACAAUGGGCGCAAGCCUGAUCCAGCCAUGCCGCGUGGAUGAUGAAGGCCUUAGGGUUGUAAAAUCCUUUCGUUGGGGGCGAUAAUGACGGUACCCAAAGAAGAAGCUCCGGCUAACUUCGUGCCAGCAGCCGCGGUAAUACGAAGGGGGCUAGCGUUGUUCGGAUUUACUGGGCGUAAAGCGCGUGUAGGCGGAUUUGUAAGUUGGGGGUGAAAUCCCGAGGCUCAACCUCGGAACUGCCUCCAAAACUACAAGUCUGGACCUAAGUAGAGGCAAGUGGAAUUGCGAGUGUAGAGGUGAAAUUCGUAGAUAUUCGCAGGAACACCAGUGGCGAAGGCGACUUGCUGGACUUAUGGUGACGCUGAGACGCGAAAGCGUGGGAGCAAACAGGAUUAGAUACCCAUGUAGUCCCUGAGCGGGCUGGCAAGGCGCAU